CUAAACCCUCACACCCCAAUCGGGUUGUGGUCAUGGGCCUCGCCCCUCCCCUCCAUUGGGUUGGGGGCGUGGCCUGAAAGGCAUCGGUCGCUGGCCCCCCUUUGGGUCUCGGUGUGCGAGUCUGCUUGACGUCUCGCCGGGACCGAUCGGGGGCAGGGGAGACCCUAAACUUAUGAAC
rnacentral:misc_RNA from 1 species